UAGUAAAGCCUGCUCAAUGUACAAUAAAUAGCCGCAGGACCUCUGUGCUAAGGUAGCAUAAUAAUUUGCCUUUUAAUUAAAGGCUAGAAUGAAAGGUAUCACAUAUUGAUAACUUUAUUAAUCUAAAAAUUUUAAAUWAACCUUUUAGUAAAARGGCUAAAAUAAAGUAGGAGGRCGACAAGACCCUGACAAACUUUACAUUAAUGUUGUGCUGGGGGGGCAAAAAAACACUAUCUUUUUUAUAAAUAAAAAACAGAAAAAUUCUAUUAUUCAUCCAAGUUACUGCAGGGAUAACAGCAUAAUUCUUUCCUAGAGAUCUCAUUGAAGAAAAAGAUUGUGACCUCGAUGUUGAAUUAGGUAUCUAUAAGGAGCAAAAUCUUUACAAGUAAGUCUGUUCGACUUUUAAUAACCUACAUGAUUUGAGUUCAGACCGGCGUGAGCCAGGUCGGUUUCUAUCCCCUUUACAAAAUCCUUAGUACGAAAGGACCAGAAUUUUAAUUAUUAAUUUC
rnacentral:rRNA from 1 species